GAUAAACGCUGGCGGCAUGCUUAAUACAUGCAAGUCGAACGGAUUUCUUCGGAAGUCAGUGGCGAACGGGUGAGUAACACGUAGGGAACCUGCCCGCAGCCGGGGGAUACUUUCUGGAAACGGAAAACAAAACCCCAUAACAGAAUUCGAGGCAUCUUGAAUUCUUGAAACAGGCAACAGCCUGGGCAGCGGAUGGACCUGCGGUGCAUUAGCUGGUUGGCGGGGCAACGGCCCACCAAGGCAAUGAUGCAUAGCCGGCCUGAGAGGGUAAACGGCCACACUGGGACUGAGACACGGCCCAGACUCCUGCGGGAGGCAGCAGUAGGGAAUUUUCGUCAAUGGGCGCAAGCCUGAACGAGCAAUGCCGCGUGGGUGAAGACGGUCUUCGGAUUGUAAAGCCCUGUUGCCGGGGACAAAGGACAGCCAGAGUGGAAAGCUGACUGUUUGAUGGUACCCGGCCAGAAAGCCACGGCUAACUACGUGCCAGCAGCCGCGGUAAUACGUAGGUGGCAAGCGUUAUCCGGAAUGAUUGGGCGUAAAGGGUGCGCAGGCGGCUGUGCAAGUCUGAAGUAAAAGGGACCGGCUCAACCGGUUCAGGCUUUGGAAACUGCACGGCUUGAGGACAGGAGAGGGCGGUGGAACUCCAUGUGUAGCGGUAAAAUGCGUAGAGAUGUGGAAGAACACCAGCGGCGAAGGCGGCCGCCUGGCCUGUACCUGACGCUGAGGCACGAAAGCGUGGGGAGCAAAUAGGAUUAGAUACCCUAGUAGUCCACGCCGUAAACGAUGAGGAGCAGGUGUUGGGAGUGAAAUCUCAGUGCCGAAGCAAACGCAGUGACUCCUCCGCCUGGGGAGUAUGCACGCAAGUGUGAAACUCAAAGGAAUUGACGGGGGCCCGCACAAGCGGUGGAGUAUGUGGUUUAAUUCGAAGCAACGCGAAGAACCUUACCAGGCCUUGACAUCGGAUGCGAAGGUACAGAGAUGUACUGGAGGCUACCAUCCAGACAGGUGGUGCAUGGUUGUCGUCAGCUCGUGUCGUGAGAUGUUAGGUUAAGUCCUGCAACGAGCGCAACCCCUGUGGCAUGUUGCUACCUGAAGAAGAGCACUCAUGCCAGACUGCCGGUGACAAACCGGAGGAAGGCGGGGAUGACGUCAAAUCAUCAUGCCCCUUAUGGCCUGGGCUACACACGUAGCGCAAUGGCGCUUACAAAGGGAAGCGACUGAGUGAUCAGAAGCGAAACCCAUAAAAGGCGUCCCAGUUCGGAUUGAAGUCUGCAACCCGACUUCAUGAAGUUGGAAUCGCUAGUAAUCGCGGAUCAGCAUGCCGCGGUGAAUACGUUCCCGGGCCUUGUACACACCGCCCGUCAAACCAUGGAAGCCG
rnacentral:rRNA from 1 species